rnacentral:rRNA from 1 species
AUUUUCUUUAAAUUCAAAGAAUUUGGCGGUGAUUUAGUCUAGUCAGAGGAACCUGCUUUUAUAAUCGAUAUAACACGUAAAAUCUUACUUAUUUUUGUUUUUAGUUUGUAUACCAUCAUUAUCAGAUAAUUUUAUAAAAAAUAAAAUUAUUAAAAAUAAUUAUAUUAGGUAAAUUAGAUCAAGGUGCAGCUUAUAAAUAAGUUAAAGUGGGUUACAAUAAGAUUUAUUUAACGGAAAUAAGGCUUUAUUUAGCUUUAGUAAGGUGGAUUUGAUUGUAAUAUAAAUUUAAGUAGUUUAGGAGGAUAGAAGCUCUGGAUUGCGUACACAUCGCC